rnacentral:rRNA from 1 species
AUCCUGGCUCAGGACGAACGCUGGCUGCGUGCUUAACACAUGCAAGUCGAACGCUGAAGCCCUGGUGCUUGCACCGGGGUGGAUGAGUGGCGAACGGGUGAGUAACACGUGAGUAACCUGCCCCCGACUUCGGGAUAAGCCCGGGAAACUGGGUCUAAUACCGGAUAUGACGACCGAAGGCAUCUUUGGUUGUGGAAAGUUUUUUCGGUUGGGGAUGGGCUCGCGGCCUAUCAGUUUGUUGGUGAGGUAAUGGCUCACCAAGACGACGACGGGUAGCCGGCCUGAGAGGGCGACCGGCCACACUGGGACUGAGACACGGCCCAGACUCCUACGGGAGGCAGCAGUGGGGAAUAUUGCACAAUGGGGGAAACCCUGAUGCAGCGACGCAGCGUGCGGGAUGACGGCCUUCGGGUUGUAAACCGCUUUCAGCAGGGAAGAAGCCUUUCGGGGUGACGGUACCUGCAGAAGAAGUACCGGCUAACUACGUGCCA